rnacentral:sRNA from 1 species
GCCAGGCGCGGUGGCGCACACCUGUAAUCCCAGCAGCUCAGGGGGCUGAGGCAGGAGGAUGGAGAGUUCCAGGCCAGUCUCAGCAACUUAGUUAGGCACUUAGUAACUCAGUAAGACCCUGUCUCUA